GCAGGACAGCAGGAGGCAGCAGUGCCCCAGAAAGGGAAGAAACCAUCGGAGCCUCCAGCGUCCUGAUUGCCGGCCACAGCCCUCCCAGCCAGUCCUAGCCUCUGCAUCUGGGACCAGGGAUCCUGCCACUGGGCAUCUCCUUUCAUUUUGGGAUUGUCAGCCUCAUUCCAGUUCUUCAGCAGAUUUUCAUGAUGGAACAAUUUGCUAAAUAUCCUGAAACAGUUAAUUUGGUCCUGGGGCAGCACAGGGUCCUGUUUUCUCUGAAUGCCAAAAUAAAGUUAC
rnacentral:lncRNA from 1 species